rnacentral:rRNA from 1 species
GAACAACUCUCAGCAACGGAUAUCUCGGCUCUUGCAUCGAUGAAGAACGCAGCGAAAUGCGAUAAGUGGUGUGAAUUGCAGAAUCCCGUGAACCAUCGAGUCUUUGAACGCAAGUUGCGCCCAAGGCCAUCAGGCCAAGGGCACGCCUGCCUGGGCAUUGCGAGUC